UUUCCGUAGGUGAACCUGCGGAAGGAUCAUUAACACUUUUUCUAUGGGAAAAAUAAUAAUUUUUUUUUUUUAAAUUAUUAUUUUCUCAGAUACACCCCCCCUUUUUUUUAGAUGAAUUAUUAAAAUAGUAAUAAUGCUAUUAUUAUUAUUUUUUCUUCUUUUUCAAACUAUUUUUUAACCCCAAAAAUAACAAAAAUUUGCUCUAACAUACUAGAAAAAUAACUGUUGUUAUUUUUUUAGAUCCAAAAAAAUUUAAAAAAAAAAAAACAACUCUUAACAACGGAUAUCUUGGCUCUC
rnacentral:misc_RNA from 1 species